CUGAAUCAGUGUGUGUGUUAGUGGAAGCGUCUGGAAAGGCGCGCGAUACAGGGUGACAGCCCCGUACACAAAAAUGCACAUAUUGUGAGCUCGAUGAGUAGGGCGGGACACGUGGUAUCCUGUCUGAAUAUGGGGGGACCAUCCUCCAAGGCUAAAUACUCCUGACUGACCGAUAGUGAACCAGUACCGUGAGGGAAAGGCGAAAAGAACCCCGGCGAGGGGAGUGAAAAAGAACCUGAAACCGUGUACGUACAAGCAGUGGGAGCCUCUUAAUGGGGUGACUGCGUACCUUUUGUAUAAUGGGUCAGCGACUUAUAUUCUGUAGCAAGGUUAACCGAAUAGGGGAGCCGAAGGGAAACCGAGUCUUAACUGGGCGUUAAGUUGCAGGGUAUAGACCCGAAACCCGGUGAUCUAGCCAUGGGCAGGUUGAAGGUUGGGUAACACUAACUGGAGGACCGAACCGACUAAUGUUGAAAAAUUAGCGGAUGACUUGUGGCUGGGGGUGAAAGGCCAAUCAAACCGGGAGAUAGCUGGUUCUCCCCGAAAGCUAUUUAGGUAGCGCCUCGUGAAUUCAUCUCCGGGGGUAGAGCACUGUUUCGGCAAGGGGGUCAUCCCGACUUACCAACCCGAUGCAAACUGCGAAUACCGGAGAAUGUUAUCACGGGAGACACACGGCGGGUGCUAACGUCCGUCGUGAAGAGGGAAACAACCCAGACCGCCAGCUAAGGUCCCAAAGUCAUGGUUAAGUGGGAAACGAUGUGGGAAGGCCCAGACAGCCAGGAUGUUGGCUUAGAAGCAGCCAUCAUUUAAAGAAAGCGUAAUAGCUCACUGGUCGAGUCGGCCUGCGCGGAAGAUGUAACGGGGCUAAACCAUGCACCGAAGCUGCGGCAGCGACACUAUGUGUUGUUGGGUAGGGGAGCG
rnacentral:rRNA from 1 species